rnacentral:lncRNA from 1 species
CUAUCAGUCUGUUGCCCCCUCCGUCUAUAAAAGGGGGGCCCCAGUACGUUAUUCUCUAAGCUCAAAAUUCUAUCCCAAAACUCUGCUAAAAUUUUCGUUCGAGCACUCCAUUCUUGUUGAGGCAGAGAACUGACUUGAGCAUCGGAGGGUCUUGCCGGAGUAACCCCACCUCCGAUUUAGACUUCUUUUGCAGGUUCCGGCGGCGACCGCGACUCCCUCGACUCCAGUUUCUCCGGCAC